CUCAAUGGUAGGAAAAGAAGAAAAUAAGGUUCAUCCAGGAUCCCUUGGAGCUCCUAUUUAAUUAAAUCAGAGCGUCAGAGACUGGAACAACAAUCCAAAUGCACACCAGUUGCAGGCCAUCUUCCACCGCCUGAUGGUUUGUUGUGGUGUUGCACAUAGUGAGACCGGUAGUGUGGCAGCCCAACAUAACAUGGUGUCCCUCUGAGCAGUAGAGAUGUCCUCUGCUGAGACAGCAGAAAAACACCCAUCGCCUUUCGGCCAUUGUGUGUGACCACAGUUAUUUUAAAGUUAAGGUUAACUUUCAGUUAACUAAGUUAAGUUUCCCACUCGGGUUGUUGCUCUGGUGGAAAAUGCUCUGGUCUACAUAACAGGAUCUGUAGUUUGGCAGAUGCUAUGGAAGCUUUCCUGUGAUAUGUGCUGUGUAGCGUUAUCAGUUGACGAGAGCUGCCACCUUCUAGCCUUGAAAAACAAGAGCAGCAAUCACAAGGCACAGGGAUGGUUUGAUUCCAUAAUUGUGUUUGUUUUUAAGUCAUUGUACA